AAUGAACGCUGGCGGCGUGCUUAACACAUGCAAGUCGAACGGUAACAGGGACUUCGGUCUGCUGACGAGUGGCGCACGGGUGAGUAAUGCAUAGGUAACGUGCCCCUUAGUCUGGGAUAGCCACUGGAAACGGUGAUUAAUACUGGAUACUCCUUCUUAUGUGAUGUAAGAAGGGAAAGGUCUUUCGCUAAGGGAUCGGCCUAUGUUGUAUCAGCUAGUUGGUGAGGUAAUGGCUCACCAAGGCGAUGACACAUAGCGGGUUUGAGAGGAUGAUCCGCCACACUGGUACUGAGACACGGACCAG
rnacentral:rRNA from 1 species